UAAAACGUAGGAGGCGAGCGUUAUCCGGAUUUACUGGGCGUAAAGGGCGCGCAGGCGGUGCCUUAAGUCGGGCGUAAAAGCCCCCGGCUCAACCGGGGAAGGCCGCUCGAUACUGAGGCGCUCGAGGGCAAGAGAGGAAAGUGGAAUUCCCGGUGUAGUGGUGGAAUGCGUAGAUAUCGGGAGGAACACCAGUGGCGAAGGCGGCUUUCUGGCUUGCACCUGACGCUAAGGCGCGAAAGCGUGGGGAGCGAACGGGAUUAGAUACCCCGGUAGUCCACGCCGUAAACGAUGGACACUAGGUGUUGGUGGUAUUGACCCCAUCAGUGCCGUUAGCUAACGCGAUAAGUGUCCCGCCUGGGGACUACGGCCGCAAGGCUA
rnacentral:rRNA from 1 species